rnacentral:rRNA from 1 species
CUGCAGCUCAAGUGGUGAUCAUUAUUAUUGGGCCUAAAACGUCCGUAGCCUGUUUAGUAAAUGCCUGGGUAAGUCGUGUAGCUUAACUAUACGAAUUCCGGGUAGACUGCUAAACUUGAGACCGGGAGAGGCUAGAGGUACUCCUGGGGUAGAGGUGAAAUUCUGUAAUCCUAGGGGGACCACCAGUGGCGAAGGCGUCUAGCUAGAACGGGUCUGACGGUGAGGGACGAAGCCCUGGGGCACAAACCGGAUUAGAUACCCGAGUAGUCC